ACCCCCAAGGGCUCCUAGUCCCGCCUCCCCACUCCCUCCAGCAUUUCUUCCCCUCCCCGCAAGCUGGGCUCCGGGGGCAGAGCCCCACCCCAGGCUGAGGCACUGGACCCGACAAAGAAGAAGGGGGCGGUAGAGUUGGGGUUGUGCUUAUGCUGGAACUGGGGGGGAGGAGGGGAGAAUCUAAUCUGUGUGGGGAGGGGGCCCCCUUCCGGUGCCUGGCCCCCCCAGACAAGGCAGGCUGGGGGGGCCCGGGGGCCGCUAACCGCGGGGGGUUGGAAGCACAGUGGGGGGCCGGCAUGGGAAGUGGGGGCCACCGGGGGGGAGGGGUGUUAGUACUUCCCAGAGUCACUUAUCCGAACGAUUCGCUUGGAAUUCCACUGCCCAGCCGCCAAUUUCAGUGCAAAAGAGGGGGGGGCAUGCCUGGGGGGGGCUCACACCAGCCUCCCUGGGGGGGCGCUCAGCCAUCUCGCCAUGAGCAUCCUCUGAUGGGGGACUGUGCCCCCCGGUCCUAUGCUGCCCCUCCUGCAGGAAUGAGCUGUCCUUGGGCAGGCCAAGCUUCGGGAGGGGGGGCUCCCCCCAGCCCCCCCACGAUCAGCAGCUUCACCAGGCACCCUCCACGAGCUUUAUCUGGGUGCUGGCUGCUGCUGCAG